rnacentral:rRNA from 1 species
UGGGGAAUAUUGGACAAUGGGCGCAAGCCUGAUCCAGCCAUACCGCGUGGGUGAAGAAGGCCUUCGGGUUGUAAAGCCCUUUUGUUGGGAAAGAAAUCCAGCUGGUUAAUACCCGGUUGGGAUGACGGUACCCAAAGAAUAAGCACCGGCUAACUUCGUGCCAGCAGCCGCGGUAAUACGAAGGGUGCAAGCGUUACUCGGAAUUACUGGGCGUAAAGCGUGCGUAGGUGGUCGUUUAAGUCUGUUGUGAAAGCCCUGGGCUCAACCUGGGAACUGCAGUGGAAACUGGACGACUAGAGUGUGGUAGAGGGUAGCGGAAUUCCUGGUGUAGCAGUGAAAUGCGUAGAGAUCAGGAGGAACAUCCAUGGCGAAGGCAGCUACCUGGACCAACACUGACACUGAGGCACGAAAGCGUGGGGAGCAAACAGGAUUAGAUACCCUGGUAGUCCACGCCCUAAACGAUGCGAACUGGAUGUUGGGUGCAAUUUGGCACGCAGUAUCGAAGCUAACGCGUUAAGUUCGCCGCCUGGGGGGUACGGUCGCAAGACUGAAACUCAAAUGAAUUGACGGGGUCAUA